GGACGAACGCUGGCGGCGUGCUUAACACAUGCAAGUCGAACGGAAAGGCCCUGCUUUUGUGGGGUGCUCGAGUGGCGAACGGGUGAGUAACACGUGAGUAACCUGCCCUUGACUUUGGGAUAACUUCAGGAAACUGGGGCUAAUACCGGAUAGGAGCUCCUGCUGCAUGGUGGGGGUUGGAAAGUUUCGGCGGUUGGGGAUGGACUCGCGGCUUAUCAGCUUGUUGGUGGGGUAGUGGCUUACCAAGGCUUUGACGGGUAGCCGGCCUGAGAGGGUGACCGGCCACAUUGGGACUGAGAUACGGCCCAGACUCCUACGGGAGGCAGCAGUGGGGAAUAUUGCACAAUGGGCGGAAGCCUGAUGCAGCAACGCCGCGUGCGGGAUGACGGCCUUCGGGUUGUAAACCGCUUUCGCCUAUGACGAAGCGUGAGUGACGGUAAUGGGUAAAGAAGCACCGGCUAACUACGUG
rnacentral:rRNA from 1 species